CCAUAUCAGAUAGUUACCAGGGUUCGUUCCGGCAGUACCCUGGGGGACAUAGACCCUAUGAGCGUCAGUCAGACCCCAUUAUACCUAACAAUGCUUUAAUUUUAACAUUUUGCAGGGGAUGUGGAACGUAAAUCGAUAGCUGGAGGGACGUCUACACAUCGGAUGGCCUGCACCCAACCACGGAGAAAAGGGACUACUGCAGGAGAGAUACCUAGCAGCCAAGCAUCAUGAUCAUUCAAACUACGAGCCUGCUGCAACAAGGACGCCAAACUAAUUGAGGAAUGAAACAAGAUUGGUUCGCCACAAAAACAACUGUGUCAGCCCAGCAAGGCUCAAUGUCGUGCUUAUCCAACAUCUGAGAUCUGUUGUGAGAUAAGAAUAUGCUACUCAUCACAAUUGAUAGUGUGAGAUUUUCAACUGCUGCAUUCUAGAAGAUGUGUCUAUGUGUAUAAGUAUAUGCAUUCCACCUAAUUAAUAAAUUAUGAACUGAUAA